GAUGAACGCUAGCUACAGGCUUAACACAUGCAAGUCGAGGGGAAACGACAUCGAAAGCUUGCUUUUGAUGGGCGUCGACCGGCGCACGGGUGAGUAACGCGUAUCCAACCUGCCCAUCACUUGGGAAUAACCUUGCGAAAGUAAGACUAAUACCCAAUGAUAUCCCACGAAGGUAUCGGAAUGGGAUUAAAGAUUUAUCGGUGAUGGAUGGGGAUGCGUCUGAUUAGCUUGUUGGCGGGGUAACGGCCCACCAAGGCAACGAUCAGUAGGGGUUCUGAGAGGAAGGUCCCCCACAUUGGAACUGAGACACGGUCCAAACUCCUACGGGAGGCAGCAGUGAGGAAUAUUGGUCAAUGGGCGAGAGCCUGAACCAGCCAAGUAGCGUGCAGGAAGACGGCCCUAUGGGUUGUAAACUGCUUUUAUAAGGGAAUAAAGUGGGUCACGUGUAACUUUUUGCAUGUACCUUAUGAAUAAGGACCGGCUAAUUCCGUG
rnacentral:rRNA from 1 species